CAGUCGCCGCGGUAAUACGUAAGUGGCAAGCGUUGUCCGGAAUUAUUGGGCGUAAAGGGUGUGCAGACGGCUUAUUAAGUCACUUGUUAAAUUCUUCGGCCUAACUGAAGGUCUGCAAGUGAUACUGAUGAGCUAGAGGGUGGAAGAGAGAAGUGGAAUUCUCGGAGUAGCGGUAAAAUGCGUAGAUCCCGAGAGGAACACCAAUGGCGAAGGCAGCUUCUUGGUCCAUUCCUGACGUUCAUACACGAAAGCGUGGGGAGCAAACAGGAUUAGAUACCCCCGUAGUCCCUGUCUCUUAUAC
rnacentral:rRNA from 1 species